rnacentral:rRNA from 14 species
CGAUGAAGGACGUGGUAGCCUGCGAUAAGCUUCGGGGAGCUGGCAAAUAAGCUUUGAUCCGGAGAUUUCCGAAUGGGGAAACCCACCCGUAAGGGUAUCGCAUACUGAAUACAUAGGUAUGCGAGGCGAACCGAGUGAACUGAAACAUCUCAGUAGCUCGAGGAAUAGACAUCAACCGAGAUUCCGAAAGUAGUGGCGAGCGAAAUCGGAAGAGCCUGCACGUUUUAGCAGUCGAUUUAUCAGAACGGUCUGGAAAGUCCGGCCACAGCGGGUGAUAGCCCCGUAUGGAAAAAGUCGAUUGUGGAACUAGGCGUGCGACAAGUAGGGCGGGACACGUGAAAUCCUGUCUGAAGAUGGGGGGACCAUCCUCCAAGGCAAAAUACU